GUUAUAGGGUCAAGUGACUAAGUGCAUGUGGUGGAUGCCUUGGCGAUUACAGGCGAUGAAGGACGUGAUAGCCUGCGAAAAGCCUCGGGGAGCUGGCAAAUUAGCUUUGAUCCGGGGAUAUCCGAAUGGGGAAACCCACCCUUAGGGGUAUCGCAUACUGAAUACAUAGGUAUGCGAGGCAAACCGAGUGAACUGAAACAUCUAAGUAGCUCGAGGAAAAGACAUCAACCGAGAUUCCGAAAGUAGUGGCGAGCGAAAUCGGAACAGCCUAGUCCUCUUUAGCAUUUGACUUAUCAAAACGGAAUGGAAAGUCCGGCCAUAGUGGGUGAUAGCCCCGUAUGAGAAAAGUCAUUUGUGGAACUGAGUGGACGAUAAGUAGGGCGGGACACGUGAAAUCCUGUCUGAAGAUGGGGGGACCAUCCUCCAAGGCUAAAUACUCGUAAUCGACCCGUAAUCGACCGAUAGUGAACAAGUACCGUGAGGGAAAGGCGAAAAGAACCCCGGGAGGGGAGUGAAAUAGAUCCUGAAACCGCAUGCAUACAAAAAGUAGGAGCCUCGCAAGGGGUGACUGCGUACCUUUUGUAUAAUGGGUCAGCGACUUACAUUCAGUGGCAAGGUUAACCGAAUAGGGAAGCCGAAGAGAAAUCGAGUCCGAAUAGGGCGUCUAGUCGCUGGGUGUAGACCCGAAACCAAGUGAUCUAUCCAUGGCCAGGAUGAAGGUGCGGUAACACGCACUGGAGGUCCGAACCGACUAGUGUUGCAAAACUAGCGGAUGAGCUGUGGAUAGGGGUGAAAGGCUAAACAAACUUGGAAAUAGCUGGUUCUCUCCGAA
rnacentral:rRNA from 1 species